rnacentral:rRNA from 1 species
AUGCCACUCCACUCCCACGUCCGCCGCCUCGUGCUCUUGCUGCUGGUCCUUUCCACCAGGGUUCCCGACUCUGUCUCCUCUUCUUGCGCCGGCGGCGUCCGGGACGAGGCGGCGAUCGUCGCGGCCGCGUUCCGCUACGUGCGCAACUUCCGGCCGCAGGCCGUGCCGGCAUGCAGGCCUGUCCGGGAGCUGCGCCUCCCGUCGCGGAACCUGACGGGCGCCGUGGCGUGGGCGGCGCUCGCGAACCUGUCCGCCCUUGCCGCGCUCGACCUCUCCGGGAACGCGCUCCAGGGCGCUAUCCCCGGCGGCUUCUGGCGCGCGCCGGCGCUCCGCGCCGUGGACGUGUCGGGGAACCAGCUCGGCGGCUCGCUGCGGGUGGAGCCGAACCCGCGGCUGCAGUCCCUCAACGUGUCCGGCAACCGCUUCACCGUCGUCGCGGGGGUGGACGGCCUCCCGGGGCUCGACGCGCUCGACGUGUCGGCGAACAGGAUCCGCGCUGUGCCGCAGGGGCUGAGGCGGCUGACGCGAUUGCGCCGGCUCGACCUCUCCCGGAACGCGAUGCGCGGGAGGUUCCCCGGCGACCUGCCCCCGCUCGAUGGUCUCCUUUUCUUGAACGUCUCGUACAACAACCUGUCCGGCGCGGUGAACGCCAGCGCCGUGAAGAAGUUCGGGCCCUCGGCGUUCAUCCACGCCGGCAAUGCGUCGUUAGUGUUCUCAAAAGACACCCCUGCGCGGCCCAGGCGGCCUCAUCCACCGCCUCCGCCACCACGAGGAACAAGUGCAAAGAAGGCUCAUCCCGCAAGGACGGCAAAGAGCACGGCAACGAAAGCGAAAAGAAAGAAGCAUCUGGGCGUGGUCGCCGUGGCGAUUGUGUGCGGGGUGGCGUCAGUGAUCGUCCUGCUCUGCUUGGUCGGAUCCGUGGCGUGCGGGGUGGUGAGGUGCAGGAAGAGGAAGAACGGAGACAAGGAGGCGGAGGAGAAGAAGGUGCAGUGGGGUGAGAAGGAAGAAGAUGAGGUGGUUGUGGCGGCGGCAGCAUCAAAGGGGGCGGCGGCCGCGCCGGUGGUGCUCUUCGAGCGACCGCUCAUGGAGCUGACGCUCGCCGACCUCGCCGCGGCCACUUCUGGGUUCGGCCGCGAAUCCCAGCUCGCGGAGCGCGGUGGCCGCAGCGGCGCCGCGUACCGCGCCGUUCUGCCCGGCGACCUGCACGUCGUCGUGCGCGUCGUGGAGGGCGCCAUGGCCGUGGUCGGGGAGGACGACAACCCGGCCGCCGCGGCCGCCGCGUUCCGGGAACUCGCGCGGCUCCGGCACCCCAACAUCCUUCCGCUCCUUGGAUACUGCAUUGCAGGGAGGGAGAAGCUGCUGCUAUACGAGUAUAUGGAGAAAGGCGACCUCCACCGGUGGCUGCACGAGCUGCCCGCGGGGCGGCCGGACAUGGACGACGCCGGCGGCGACAUCUGGGAGGCGGCGGAGGACAAGCGGUCGAUAUCCGACUGGCCGACCCGGCACCGCAUCGCGCUGGGCGUCGCCCGGGGCCUGGCGUUCCUGCACCAAGGGUGGGCCGGGUCAGGCCGGGCCGUGGUGCACGGCCACCUCGUCCCCACCAACGUGCUCCUCAGCGACGACCUGGAGCCCCGUAUAUCCGACUUCGGGCACCUCGGCGGCGACGAGGACGACGCGACGCCGGAGGCGGACGUGUAUGGGUUCGGCGCGCUGGUGCUGGAGCUGAUGACGGGGCAGGCGAGGUGGGACGAGGCGUCGGUGAGCUGGGCGCGCGGGCUCAUCCGCGACGGCAAGGGGCUGGACAUCGUGGACCCGCGGGUGCACGGCGGCGAGGCGGCGGAGCGGGAGAUGGUGGAGUGCCUGCGGGUGGGGUACCUGUGCACGGCGCACUCGCCGGACAAGCGGCCGACUAUGCAGCAGGUGGUGGGCGUGCUCAAGGACAUCCGGCCUCGUGCGCUCGACGGCGGUGGCGAUGCGUGA